UCCUACCCCCAAUCCGUCACUCUCUCUCUCUCUCCCUCGUUUCCUUCUUCAAUUUUUCCCAAACUUCCAAUGGGAAACCCUAGCUGAUCGGCACCCCCCCUCUCGCCGUCUCACAGGCGUCCCACCGUCCCCGACGAAUCGGAGCCCUCAUCCUUCAAGCUCUCGCCGUCCUCUCUUCGGAACCGAGAGGCAAAGCCUAGAUCGUGCAGCGGCGACGGUGUUUCUUUCGCGGUGGAGCCACCGGUGGAAGGAAGGCGUCGCCUCCUCCACCUCACGGCGUCUUCCUUCGACCCACCACCGCCGUUCUGCAACGAAGCACACACUUUCGCUCCCUUCGGCGACGCUCAGUUUUUCUGCUAUAGGGGAGUCGCGCAGGUGGCGGUUUCGCCGUCGCCGAGGUCCUGUUGUAGCUCGCCGUCGAGCCGCUCCUACCGGCGAUUUGCUAUUUCCUCCGCCCUAGUUCCCCUACCGCGAUAUUGCCUCAAGCUACGCGGCGUCGUGCAGCGAUCGGGCGGGGGCAGCUGCUCGUCACGCCUUCCAUUCCAUACCGUUCUAUCGCCAAAGCUAACUCUCUUCUAGCCUAUCUUAUUCUCCUUGUUAUUGGCUAGUUUUGAUUCGCAUUGAGAUGUUUAGUUUAUGGCAGAUUCGAACAAGGUUUUGAUUCUAGGCUUAAGGUUAUUAGUCCCUAUUUUAUUGAUCGGAUUUACUCGUUGACACCAUUGGGGUGAACCUAUGUGAUUAUGUGAUGAGUUCCUAAGUUCCGAGAGCUGAGUAUCCCUAAGUCGUCGGCUUGAAAGGAAAAAGGGCAGCCAUGUUUCGUUUCCCUUGUUUACACGAUGGAGGAUGGUUCCUAACCUCCUUAUACUUGUUUCUUUCCAUUGGUUCAUUGGGAAAUCAUCAUGCUAAAAGAUGUCUCGAUGUGACAGUGCUUCUAUGUGAUGUUGUGAUCUAUAAUUCGUGUUUGAGAGAGUGGUGUGUUACCUCUUUGUGAUUGAGACAGCAAUGGGGCUGCCCUAGUUGGUGUGCACCGAAAGUCCACUCUCGUCUCUAUACCCGGUUGAAAUUGGUAGUGUGUGGUGGGGAGAACUUGUUGCAUAUAGAGGGGGUCUUAUAGGUCUUCUUGUGUACUUGGAGUUUGUUAGGACUUUUGACAGAGAUGUACUCUGAAUCUCUGGCUCAUUGCUAACACAUUUUGGUGGUUUAUGGGGUGUGUACUCGUGAAAUAAAUGUGGCUGCUGCACACAGGCCUUACCCUGCAGUCCCUUUAACUGCAUUUGGCACUUUGUGAAUGCUUGGUACCUUGUUCAUUUAUAGAAUUUGUCCCUUGUCGCAGGUGCACAAUAAAUGUUGGGGAUUUUGUACUAGAAUCCUUGGCAGUGGCAGGUGCACGACAAGGUUGCGGCUGUUAGCCGAACCCUGCAGGCUGCUGCGGUCAAGAACUGAUACGGCUGCUUCAUGGCAGCCUUCGGUUGGAUUAGGGAGUGCAGGGGUGUUGCUAGCUACCUUUUUCUAAUUCGGUAUUACUUUGGUCUUCAUUAAAAGUGAUGUACAAGUACUAGUUAGCUGGGAAUCGGUCCCUUGCGACAUGGUUCGGUGCCUCUGGCCCGACGGUCGAUCGAGACACGGCUUGGGCGUAGUUUAGCUUGAUAAGAUGGGCACAUGCUUGUUUCUUUUCAAAACCUUGCACCUCUUUACUUGUAACUUAAUCACUUCGGUGUAUGUAAUCGAAACUUAUGUUCUUAGUUUUCUUUCUUGUAUGAAGUUGAAACGUUCACUUUGGGAAGAAAAUAAAGAGAGCGCGAUUUCUUUUUA